rnacentral:rRNA from 1 species
AACGAACGCUGGCGGCAUGCCUAACACAUGCAAGUCGAACGAGACCUUCGGGUCUAGUGGCGCACGGGUGCGUAACGCGUGGGAACCUGCCCUUGGGUUCGGAAUACCUCCCCGAAAGGGGUCCUAAUACCGGUUAAUGCCUCCGGCCCAAAGAUUUAUCGCCUUUGGAUGGGCCCGCGUUGGAUUAGCUAGUUGGUAGGGUAAAAGCCUACCAAGGCGACGAUCCAUAGCUGGUCUGAGAGGAUGAUCAGCCACACUGGGACUGAGACACGGCCCAGACUCCUACGGGAGGCAGCAGUGGGGAAUAUUGGACAAUGGGCGAAAGCCUGAUCCAGCAAUGCCGCGUGAGUGAUGAAGGCCUUAGGGUUGUAAAGCUCUUUUACCCGGGAUGAUAAUGACAGUACCGGGAGAAUAAGCGCCGGCUAACUCCGUG